UCCUUCUAUUAUUUUAUUCCUUUUCCAUCAUCUUCCCUCCCCCUCUCUCUCUCUUGCAUAUUUCAGUAGCAGGAGCAAACUCCAUCCAGAUAAGUCAUAUCAGAUGCAGAGAUAGAGCGACUGCAUGUGAGGAUAAGAGAUGUGUGGGUGAGAUCAUCUGGCCGAGAAAUGAAGAUAAGCUUCCAGAUUCUUCAUUAUUUAUAUAUAUAUAAAAAACUAAUGUAUGAAUUACAUCUCAAAUGUGAGAGUGUGGGUGAGAUGAUCUGGCCAAGAAAUGAAGAUAAGCUUCCAGAUUCUUCAUUAUUUAUAUAUAUAAAAAACUAAUGUAUGAAUUACAUCUCAAAUGUGAGAGUGUGGGUGAGAUGAUCUGGCCAAGAAAUGAAGAUAAGCUUCCAGAUUCUUCAUUAUUUAUAUAUAUAAAACUAAUGUAUGAAUUACAUCUCAAAUGUGAGAAUGUUUAUGCAGAUUACAUGUGCGACUGAGGCUCAAUCUCAUGACUGAGAGAGGUCACUAAUGUCAUCUAAGCACAUAAUGUCUAGUAACUCAGUUAUAUAAAUUAUUUGCGA